rnacentral:piRNA from 1 species
UGUGACUUAGUAGCUGACCAGAAGCAAC